rnacentral:rRNA from 1 species
GCAGUGUACUAGUAAUGCAGUCGAGCGGACAGAUGGGAGCUUGCUCCCUGAUGUUAGCGGCGGACGGGUGAGUAACACGUGGGUAACCUGCCUGUAAGACUGGGAUAACUCCGGGAAACCGGGGCUAAUACCGGAUGGUUGUCUGAACCGCAUGGUUCAGACAUAAAAGGUGGCUUCGGCUACCACUUACAGAUGGACCCGCGGCGCAUUAGCUAGUUGGUGAGGUAACGGCUCACCAAGGCGACGAUGCGUAGCCGACCUGAGAGGGUGAUCGGCCACACUGGGACUGAGACACGGCCCAGACUCCUACGGGAGGCAGCAGUAGGGAAUCUUCCGCAAUGGACGAAAGUCUGACGGAGCAACGCCGCGUGAGUGAUGAAGGUUUUCGGAUCGUAAAGCUCUGUUGUUAGGGAAGAACAAGUGCCGUUCAAAUAGGGCGGCACCUUGACGGUACCUAACCAGAAAGCCACGGCUAACUACGUGCCAGCAGCCGCGGUAAUACGUAGGUGGCAAGCGUUGUCCGGAAUUAUUGGGCGUAAAGGGCUCGCAGGCGGUUUCUUAAGUCUGAUGUGAAAGCCCCCGGCUCAACCGGGGAGGGUCAUUGGAAACUGGGGAACUUGAGUGCAGAAGAGGAGAGUGGAAUUCCACGUGUAGCGGUGAAAUGCGUAGAGAUGUGGAGGAACACCAGUGGCGAAGGCGACUCUCUGGUCUGUAACUGACGCUGAGGAGCGAAAGCGUGGGGAGCGAACAGGAUUAGAUACCCUGGUAGUCCACGCCGUAAACGAUGAGUGCUAAGUGUUAGGGGGUUUCCGCCCCUUAGUGCUGCAGCUAACGCAUUAAGCACUCCGCCUGGGGAGUACGGUCGCAAGACUGAAACUCAAAGGAAUUGACGGGGGCCCGCACAAGCGGUGGAGCAUGUGGUUUAAUUCGAAGCAACGCGAAGAACCUUACCAGGUCUUGACUCCUCUGACAUCCUAAAGAUAGGACGUCCCUUCGGGGGCAAAGGGACGGGGGGG